rnacentral:lncRNA from 1 species
AAAACAUCUUUCAGCGUUACGAUCGAGCAAUCUGCUCGAUCGUUGCCCUCCGUCUUACGACUCAUUGGCCUUGGCCUCAUGCUCCUCGCCAUUAUGGCCGAGCAGACCACUAUCAUGUGACUUACACCCAGCGGAUUUGGCGUCGAGAUUCUUAUGCAUAAUCUUUUUUGGUAAUAACUAAAAACAAAGUUCAACGAAAUCCUUUCAAAAUGGCUUUCGUAAAUGAACAAAGUUAUAAGAAAAUGACUUUCGUAUGACUAAGGAAAAGAUUAUACGAAAAAAUGAUCGCAUGGUCAGAACUAAAUCAUACUAAAUCAUUAUCUACUACAUUAGCCACUUCAAGGCCAACUCAUGUAAUGGUACAUAGCUUUUCACAUCAGGCCACACAUAAAGUCAUGACGCUCUAAACAUAAUAUCUUUGGUUCUCUGCCAAUUACACCUUUCUUCAUGCCCAAACUGAAAAUCGGUAGAUCUUUGAAGGACGAUUCUAAACUAGCAUGAUCUUUAUGCUAACACAGAAAUGGUAUAAUCUAACCCUCAACCUGUAAUGCCCUCGGCUGUAUUGAUAAAAAUGGCCUUCACGCCAAGCCAAAACACUUCGUCUACAAAGCAAAACACAUAUGAAAUGUAAGUGUUCUCGUAUAACUUACAUGAGACCAUUUUUAAAGAAGCUAUGCAAAAUAGGUUUCGGAAAACAAGUCACAGAAAAAAACUUUAGAAAACUACCAAAACAAGUCCCCCCAGCUUUGAUUCCAAGCAAAAGGACUUCUUCGUCACAAGGAAGUCUCUCUUGUCUUCUUCCUCGCAGCAAACUGUGAAACAGACUUUCACUAUAUAUCAUCUUGGAACAAAAUCCAAGGAUGACUCCCCCGAAGCCUUCCAUAGGGGUCACAUUGCCUUGUUUUUGCAAUUGAUCACGAGAAUGGCUUAUCUCUUUGCAGCACCAUGUAAUAUUCUGUGAGCAGCUCACUCUUUACAGCCACUCGUC